rnacentral:rRNA from 1 species
CCUACGGGAGGCAGCAGUAGGGAAUAUUGGGCAAUGGGCGAGAGCCUGACCCAGCCAUGCCGCGUGCCGGAUGAAGGCCUUCUGGGUUGUAAACGGCUUUUCUCAGGGAAGAAAAAGCCCAUGCGUGGGACACUGACGGUACCUGAGGAAUAAGCACCGGCUAACUCCGUGCCAGCAGCCGCGGUAAUACGGAGGGUGCAAGCGUUGUCCGGAUUUAUUGGGUUUAAAGGGUGCGUAGGCGGCCCGUUAAGUCCGGGGUGAAAGCCCACAGCUCAACUGUGGAACUGCCCUGGAUACUGGCGGGCUUGAGUCCAGACGAGGUUGGCGGAAUGGAUGGUGUAGCGGUGAAAUGCAUAGAUACCAUCCAGAACCCCGAUUGCGUAGGCAGCUGACUAGGCUGGUACUGACGCUGAGGCACGAAAGCGUGGGGAGCGAACAGGAUUAGAUACCUCGUAGUCACGCCGUAACCGAACUGAGUACUCGCUGUGGG